UACAGAGGGGGCAAGCGUUGUUCGGAAUUACUGGGCGUAAAGUGUGCGCAGGCGGCCGAGCAAGUCGAGUGUGAAAUCCCCGGGCUUAACUUGGGAAUUGCGCUCGAAACUACUUGGCUUGAGUGUGGCAGAGGAAGGUGGAAUUCCACGUGUAGCGGUGAAAUGCGUAGAGAUGUGGAGGAACACCGAUGGCGAAGGCAGCCUUCUGGGCCAACACUGACGCUCAUGCACGAAAGCGUGGGGAGCAAACAGG
rnacentral:rRNA from 1 species